CUCAUUUCCCCUUGCUUUGUAAAGACCACAGCCUGACGGGAGCCCUACUUCCUUGUGUUCUCACCCUCAUAUUAAGGCAUUUCAAAAUGGGGACGGUACUAGUUUCUACAGGUUCAUUGGAGCUAUGUCACUGUCUAUCUGAGACGACUAGCUAAAUAACUACAAUGGCUGCUUCUGAUGAGUCCUCUUCCCAAGAAGAGCUGAACGACAAAACUGUUUAUGUUCUUUUACAUACUAACAUAUGGGGCAUUCUGGCCUAUUCAUUUGAGCUGGAAUAAACUGAAGAGGAGUUGAGACGAGAACAAGAGUUGCGAGAUUACCAAGCAGCGAUGGGGAACUACGGUCAGACUGACUGGUGGAGCCCUAUGCAGGUGCUGUCCAGCCAUGCCGACAGAAGAGGAAUGCCUGUGCUGAAACGAAUUAGAUCGCGGACAAUUCUUACUGGAGAGGGUCACUGCAGACCCCAUGGAAUAUGUACCAUACCGCUUGGUGGCCUACAGAUUAUUUUGGGAGUUUGUUCUCCGUGGGGAGAAAACUAGGCACAGGACACCGAAUCCCCUUGCCAUAACAACAAUCUCCCCUUGUAUUAAAGUGACUCCGAAUACCUCACUGCAACAGCCAAACACACCAUAUGCAAGUAUUCCCUUUGUAGAACUGUAGUAUUUAUAAGCAUUAGUAGUAUAUUGUUUUCCUACUGUAUAUAUGUCAUACAUUGCUAUAUCUGUUCCUGCAUACUGCUGUGUAAACUCACCUCGGUGUCCUGAGCAAAUACACUUUGUCUUGAAUACAAGCCAUGUCUACUUAUUUGCUACAUUGACAUACAGAUCUACUGUUUUAUUGCCAACAAAUGAAAGUUGAAAUGAUACACCAACUAUUUUGUUUCAGGAAGAUUGGCGCUAGUUACUUCCAAAUACAUUUUUAUGAAUAUCACAAUAAAUUAAUCCAGAAGUUGAAGUCAACACUUUAUUGGUUUCUGAUAAGGGAAUUUAUAUGUUUAAAGUAAUGACUAAAGAAUUCCACCCUGAAACUGAAUUAUUAGACUAUGUAAAAUGUAUUAGAAUAAUUAGACUAUAAUCCAAUAAGGUUUGGUUGAGACAAGUUAAAGGUGAGAAAUGUGUGACUCAGAAAACACAGAGGACAAUUGAACUAUACAUGCCCUGACCUGGUUGGAACUCUGAAAAACUUACGACAGGAAAGAGGCCUUGUCAAGGCCCAGCUAAUCUGGGGAGGAAGGUAACGGCGAGAAACUGCCAGGCGGGUAGAACAGUGAUAAACAAGGAAUGUGACUGUGGAAAAAGAUACAUACUAUGUGGGUGUGUGGGUGUAUGGGGGGUUAUAAAGACUGCUCAAAUUUUGGUUGACUUUAGAACGUUCUCUGAAUAAAGCUUAUGAACCUUUUACAGAA
rnacentral:lncRNA from 1 species